GUGCUUGCUUCAGCAGCACAUAUACUAAAACUGGAACAAUACCGAGGAGAUUAGCAUGGACCCUGCACAAGGAUGAAACAUAAAUUCAUUAAGUAUUCCAUAUUUUU